rnacentral:rRNA from 1 species
UACGUAGGGUGCGAGCGUUAAUCGGAAUUACUGGGCGUAAAGCGUGCGUAGGCGGUCCCGCAAGUCCGCUGUGAAAGCCCCGAGCUUAACUUGGGAACUGCAGUGGAAACUAUGGGACUUGAAUCCGGCAGAGGGGGGUGGAAUGCCACGUGUAGCAGUGAAAUGCGUAGAGAUGCGGAGGAACACCGAUGGCGAAGGCAGCCCCCUGGGCUAGCACUGACGCUCAGGCACGAAAGCGUGGGGAGCAAACAGG